AGAAGCAGCCACCAUUUAAAGAGUGCGUAAUAGCUCACUGGUCGAGAGACGCUGCGCCGAAAAUGUCCGGGGCUCAAGCACGGAACCGAAGCUAUGGCAUGAUAGCAAUAUCAUGGGUAGGGGAGCGUUCUUAUAAGGAAGAAGCAUGACCGGAAGGACAUGUGGACAAAUAAGAAGUGAGAAUGCCGGUAUGAGUAUCGAAAAGAAAGGUGAGAAUCCUUUCCACCGAAAGCCCGAGGGUUCCUGAGCAACGAUCGUCGACUCAGGGUAAGUCGGGACCUAAGCCGAGGCGAGAAGCGUAGGCGAUGGACAACAGGUUGAAAUUCCUGUACCGGAUCAAGUCGAUCGAGCGAAGGAGCGACGCAGGAGGGCACAUGAUCGCGCGGCUGGAAGAGCGCGUCCAAGUGCGUAUGUUGCAGCAGAGGAAAACCCCUGCAGCUAAAAGCAGAGACAUGAUGGGGAGUUAAAGGAAACUUUGACGAACUCAUGAAUCCCACACUGCCAAGAAAAACUUCUAGCGAGACAAGAUCCGCCCGUACCGUAAACCGACACAGGUAGGCGGGGAGAGAAUCCUAAGGUGCGCGGGAAAACCCUCGUUAAGGAACUCGGCAAAUUGCAUCCGUAACCUAGGGAGAAGGAUGGCCCCCUGUCAGUGAAGAGCAGAAACGCUCAGAGCUAAAAGGGGCGGCAGAAAAGAGGCCCAAGCAACUGUUUACCAAAAACACAGGUGCCUGCGAAAGCGAAAGCUGAAGUAUAGGUGCUGACGCCUGCCCGGUGCCGGAAGGUUAAGGAGAGAAGUUAGCGAAAGCGAAGCAUCGAACUGAAGCCCCGGUGAACGGCGGCCGUAACUAUAACGGUCCUAAGGUAGCGAAAUUCCUUGUCGGGUAAGUUCCGACCCGCAUGAAAGGCGUAAUGAUUUGGGCACUGUCUCAACGAGGGGCCCGGUGAAAUUGAAAUACCUGUGAAGAUGCAGGUUACCCGCGACUGGACAGAAAGACCCCAUGGAGCUUCACUGCAGCUUGAGAUUGAAUCCCGGUGACAGAUGCACAGGAUAGGUGGGAGGCGCCGAAGCAUUGCCCUAGGGCGGUGCGGAGCCGAUGUUGGGAUACCACCCUUCUGUUGCUGAGAUUCUAACGCGAGGAGUAACGACCCUGCGGACCCUCUCAGGCAGGCGGUUUGACUGGGGCGGUCGCCUCCGAAAGAGUAACGGAGGCGCCCAAAGGUUCCCUCAGGCCGGACAGAAACCGGCCGAAGAGUGCAAAGGCAGAAGGGAGCUUGACUGCGAGACCAACAAGUCGAGCAGAGACGAAAGUCGGGCUUAGUGAUCCGGUGGUACUGAGUGGAAAGGCCAUCGCUCAACGGAUAAAAGCUACCCUGGGGAUAACAGGCUAAUCUCUCCCAAGAGUUCAUAUCGACGGGGAGGUUUGGCACCUCGAUGUCGGCUCAUCACAUCCUGGGGCUGGAGUAGGUCCCAAGGGUUGGGCUGUUCGCCCAUUAAAGUGGUACGCGAGCUGGGUUCAAAACGUCGUGAGACAGUUUGGUUCAUAUCCAUCGCGGGCGCAAGAAGUUUGAGAGGAGCUGCUCCUAGUACGAGAGGACCGGAGUGGACGGAUCAACGGUGUCCCAGUUGUCACGCCAGUGGCACGGCUGGAAAGCCGCAUCCGGGAAGGAUAAACGCUGAAAGCAUCUAAGCGUGAAGCCAACCUCAAGAUGAGACUUCUCAUCAGCAAUGAGUAAGACCCCUUACAGACGAUGAGGUAGAUAGGUUAUGAGUGGAAGAGCCGCAAGGCUUGGAGCGACAUAAAACUAAUAGGUCGAGGUCUUAACUUA
rnacentral:rRNA from 1 species